rnacentral:rRNA from 1 species
AUACGGAGGGUCCAAGCGUUAUCCGGAAUCAUUGGGUUUAAAGGGUCCGUAGGCGGACAAUUAAGUCAGAGGUGAAAUCCCACAGCUCAACUGUGGAACUGCCUUUGAUACUGGUUGUCUUGAAUUAUCGUGAAGUAGAUAGAAUGUGUAGUGUAGCGGUGAAAUGCAUAGAUAUUACACAGAAUACCGAUUGCGAAGGCAGUCUACUAACUAUAUAUUGACGCUGAUGGACGAAAGCGUGGGGAGCGAACAGGAUUAGAAACCCUAGUAGUCC